AAAGCGAGCGGCGGAUGGGUGAGUAACACGUGGGGAACCUGCCCCUAAGUCUGGAUACCAUUUGGAAACAGGUGCUAAUACCGGAUAAUAAAGCAGAUCGCAUGAUCAGCUUUUGAAAGGCGGCGUAAGCUGUCGCUAAGGGAUGGCCCCGCGGUGCAUUAGCUAGUUGGUAAGGUAACGGCUUACCAAGGCGACGAUGCAUAGCCGAGUUGAGAGACUGAUCGGCCACAUUGGGACUGAGACACGGCCCAAACUCCUACGGGAGGCAGCAGUAGGGAAUCUUCCACAAUGGACGCAAGUCUGAUGGAGCAACGCCGCGUGAGUGAAGAAGGUUUUCGGAUCGUAAAGCUCUGUUGUUGGUGAAGAAGGAUAGAGGUAGUAACUGGCCUUUAUUUGACGGUAAUCAACCAGAAAGUCACGGCUAACUACGUGCCAGCAGCCGCGGUAAUACGUAGGUGGCAAGCGUUGUCCGGAUUUAUUGGGCGUAAAGCGAGCGCAGGCGGAAAAAUAAGUCUAAUGUGAAAGCCCUCGGCUUAACCGAGGAACUGCAUCGGAAACUGUUUUUCUUGAGUGCAGAAGAGGAGAGUGGAGCUCCAUGUGUAGCGGUGGAAUGCGUAGAUAUAUGGAAGAACACCAGUGGCGAAGGCGGCUCCCUGGUCUGCAACUGACGCUGAGGCUCGAAAGCAUGGGUAGCGAACAGGAUUAGAUACCCUGGUAGUCCAUGCCGUAAACGAUGAGUGCUAAGUGUUGGGAGGUUUCCGCCUCUCAGUGCUGCAGCUAACGCAUUAAGCACUCCGCCUGGGGAGU
rnacentral:rRNA from 1 species